rnacentral:rRNA from 1 species
CUAUGCUUAGCCCUAAACUUAGAUAGUUAGUCCUAAACAAAACUAUCCGCCAGAGAACUACUAGCAACAGCUUAAAACUCAAAGGACUUGGCGGUGCUUUACAUCCCUCUAGAGGAGCCUGUUCUAUAAUCGAUAAACCCCGAUAUACCUCACCAUCUCUUGCUAAUUCAGCCUAUAUACCGCCGUCUUCAGCAAACCCUAAAAAGGAAGAAAAGUAAGCACAAGUAUCUUAACACAAAAAAGUUAGGUCAAGGUGUAGCUCAUGAGAUGGGAAGCAAUGGGCUACAUUUUCUAAAAUUAGAAUACCCACGAAAAUCCUUAUGAAAUGAAGUAUUAAAGGAGGAUUUAGUAGUAAAUUUGAGAAUAGAGAGCUCAAUUGAAUCGGGCCAUGAAGCACGCACACACCGCCCGUCACCCUCCUCAAGUGCUAGUUCCCCAAAAAACCUAUUUAAUUCCCCACCCCCACAAAAGGGAA